CAGAAUGUAGCUUAAUAUAAAGUGUAUUUUUUACAUAAAUGAGAUAAUUAAAAUUCAUUUUGA
rnacentral:tRNA from 1 species